CCGGUCCGAACCCUGCCCGGGCGGAUCUAUGUGGCCGGCGAGCGGAGGGGGGGCGGGGGGAAUGGGAUAAGAGCAACAGAAGUUAAGUCUAAAAGGUGUUUAAUAUAAAAUAAGCUUCUAUGAAGGGUGAUGGAUUGCAUCCAGCAUGAAGGAUGUAUCCGACAGAAGUUACAAGGUACAAUGAUUGGAAACUUCAAAAUUGCUGUUUAGCUAGACUUUGUGGAGAUGGGCAAGAAAUAUCAUAAUUGUGUUGCUUGCUGAAUCAAGGAUAUCAAAAUAGAGAAUCCAAAUGGCAUCUCUGGAUUUUAAAAACAAGCUGAUUCAUCUCCAAGUGUAUGCAGGUUAGAAAUAUUAAGAGUUCAGCUCACAAAGUUUCAAAAAAAUGAACAUUCAUUAUAAGAAAACACUUUUCUAGCCUGAAGUAGCACCAGAGUAUACUGGCAAGACAGCAGAUAUGUAACAGUUGAGUACCAAAGGAAGAAGAAUUUGAUAUAAAAGCUUAAAAAAUAUCAGAUCAAAACUGCAGUGGAAGAAGGAGUAGAACAGAAAUGUAAAGGAGCUUCAAGAAUAGAGUAACUUAACCCGGUGCGCAACCUGAAUUAUCCUUCUGUGCUGCAGCAGUUUACUUAGACAUCAGCUGCAUCCAUAACUGUUUAAAAACUGACAAAUCUGAGAAACUUCACUCUUGGAAGCAUAAGCCUCUUUUAAUCUCUUGGCAAUGAAAUCACAGUUCUCUUCAAGUUAGUUCAGCCAAGAACUGUGCCAUUGUACGCUAUUUCACAGCUUUGCAUUUAAAAAGAGUAAUGCUCACUUAAUGCACAGUCAUCCUAUUAUCAACACCAUAACUGACUCUGAACGAUCAAGCAUUUAUCCCAUAAAGGUCUGUUUGCCAAGUUCUGUUUUACAUCCAAAAGAGGUAAAUACAGCCUGGAAAGUCCUUUCUCUCAAAGAGGUCCAUAUCUCCCAAUCAAGUGCAAACAGCACACUCUGCUUUGUGUGCUUAACACUCAGUUCCAUAUCUUGCCCAUUAUAUAAUGAAUAUUUUGGACCUGUUGCAUAGUCUCAUACCUCAUUAAGAUAUUUAAGUUCAAAUGUCUGCAAAAAUACUAGAAAACAAGAUAAUCUGUGAAGCAAUGUAGAAAAGUAGGUUUCUUUGAGAAUUCAGCUGUCUGACUGGAAGUAGCAAUAUUUGGACUGUAGGAAUCCUCUUCGUUUCAGGUUCUGAAACUGAAACAGCCUUUCUAGGUUUUUUGAGUCCCAGCUGCUUCUGUCAUGGUCAGGGUAUUAUAUAGUCCUUUUCACAAAAAAAGUCACUGUCUUAGAAGCAGCCAGCGAUCCUCCCUUCUCGAUUUUUGCCCUCACUACUGUUGGGAAGCUACUCCUGAACCUUGUUCUUUGGGUGGAUGGCAACCUUCCCUUCUGAAUUUGCAUUAACAUAGAUCUCUGGUUCGUGGCUACCAGAUGCCUUAAUCCAUCCAGUUAUAACCCAUCUAGCAUAACCCAGUCAUACCCUACAGUGAUUACUUUGAGAACAAUCCUGAAUUUAAAAGGCAUUUUAUCCAACAGAAAUUUCCCUUUGAAAGUGGUGAAAAUUUAGUCUGAGCUGAAUUUUUAAUGAAAACUGUAGGUUUGGAGACCUGGGUUUACAAGAAGAACAGAGAAAACCCACCUCCUUAGUGGUUAUUACUACAAUAGAAUGUGAUUGAAAGCAAUUACUUUUCAUGAAAGUUUAUGUAAGAAAUACUUCCAAUCAUUAAUAAUGUGACCAUUUUUAGCAGCAGCAGUAAUCUUUAAGAAAGAUGUUUAAACCCUGUUUAUUUUUCUGCAAAGAUAUCUUAGCAUAUUACAACUAAAAGCCAUGUAUGUCUUGUAGGCAUACAACAUGUGAGCAGAGGUAGGGACAUUCAUAGUUUUUAUACUUCAGUAUAAAAUGUUACCAUAUUAACUUCCAUAGGUUGACAAAAGCAACAGAAUUGUUUGAUUAAAAAUAAAUCUUACUAAUAUAGACACUUAUUCUGUAAUGUUCUCCUGCUAAACCCAUUUUUUAUGAAAAUAAUGAUGCAAGCAACUAAGUGUAAUUGUAGAAAAUUAUUGCCAAUGAUUUGCAUAUGAAACACACACCCUUUACAGCCUCUAGUAGCAUUGUUCAACCAGCUUAAAAAUAGUACAGCUGAAAUGCUGCAAACAGAAAACAGUUUUCGAUGGGCACAUGCUAUGAAUGAAGAAAUGUUCAGACACAAUGUGCAACUUGGAGAGCUUUCAUCAAAACUAGCAAAGAGGGAAAAAUGGCUAAUUUCCUAACCAUGCUGUGUUUCGGAUAAGCGUCAUGCUCAUCUGCAGAGAGUAAAGCCUUUUAAAAUGAGUGUUUAUAUUUUUUCUGUACGAAAAAAUACCCCUAAUCUAAUCUAAUCUAUUGGUACUUGUUUUAGAUUUUUCUAAUUACUUCUGCGUAACAUUUAAUUUUUAUAAUUUGACAUUUAAUAAAUGCUAAAUUUUGAACCUUGCAGUUGAAACAAGUCAUUUGCUGUAAACAUUGAAGGCAUAAAAAAAUUCUAGUUUUAAGAUAUUGGGGUUUUUUGCAAGUAAAAUACUUACUUUUAUAUAGGACUUUAAAAAUGUUGACCACUGUUCUAAUAAUAAAGCAGAGUAUUUUCAGUCUUUGAUAUUUGGGGGAAGGGAUGAAGGGAGGAAGAAAAAGUGGAGCAGUGGAGUAGGGUAAAAAAGAAAAUUUCAAAGCAAGAUUUUUUAUAAUGUCACUGCAAAAUUGCAAUUCUCCUAAACAGUAAUACAAAAUAUGCCUCAAAUGGAAUUUUAUAUAUAAAUUUCUUAACAACCAGACAAAUCUGAGAACUAUUGUUUUAGUUAUCAGUGGGACA